GACGAAGGGGGCUAGCGUUGUUCGGAAUCACUGGGCGUAAAGCGCACGUAGGCGGCUUUCUAAGUCAGGGGUGAAAUCCUGGAGCUCAACUCCAGAACUGCCUUUGAUACUGGAGAGCUCGAGUCCGGAAGAGGUGAGUGGAACUCCGAGUGUAGAGGUGAAAUUCGUAGAUAUUCGGAAGAACACCAGUGGCGAAGGCGGCUCACUGGUCCGGUACUGACGCUGAUGUGCGAAAGCGUGGGGAGCAAACAGG
rnacentral:rRNA from 1 species